CCCGAAGCGGAGGUGAUCUACUCAUGAGCAGGUUGAAGCAGCGGUAAUACGCUGUGAAGGACCGAACCGGUGUACGUUGAAAAGUGCUCGGAUGACUUGUGAGUAGGAGCGAAAGACUAAUCAAACCCCGUGAUAGCUGGUUCUCUCCGAAAUAGAUUGAGGUCUAGCGUCAGAUGCUGACUUACGGAGGUAGAGCACUGGAUCGCUUAGGG
rnacentral:rRNA from 14 species